rnacentral:rRNA from 1 species
AGAGUUUGAUCCUGGCUCAGGAUGAACGCUGGCGGUAUGCUUAACACAUGCAAGUCGAACGAAGUGCUUCGGCACUUAGUGGCGGACGGGUGAGUAACGCGUGAGAAUCUGCCAAAAGGACUGGGACAACAGCUGGAAACGGCUGCUAAUACCGGAUAUGCCAGAAAGUGAAAUGGGUAAAACCGCCUUUUGAUGAGCUCGCGUCCGAUUAGCUAGUUGGUGGGGUAAAAGCCUACCAAGGCGACGAUCGGUAACUGGUCUGAGAGGAUGACCAGUCACACUGGGACUGAGACACGGCCCAGACUCCUACGGGAGGCAGCAGUGGGGAAUUUUCCGCAAUGGGCGAAAGCCUGACGGAGCAAUACCGCGUGAGGGAGGAAGGCUCUUGGGUUGUAAACCUCUUUUCUCAGGGAAGAACACAAUGACGGUACCUGAGGAAUCAGCAUCGGCUAACUCCGUGCCAGCAGCCGCGGUAAUACGGAGGAUGCAAGCGUUAUCCGGAAUGAUUGGGCGUAAAGCGUCCGCAGGUGGCUUUGCAAGUCUGCUGUCAAAGCUCAGGGCUUAACCCUGAAUCGGCGGUGGAAACUGAAAGGCUAGAGUGUGGUAGGGGCAGAGGGAAUUCCCAGUGUAGCGGUGAAAUGCGUAGAGAUUGGGAAGAACACCAGUGGCGAAAGCGCUCUGCUAGACCGCAACUGACACUCAUGGACGAAAGCUAGGGGAGCGAAUGGGAUUAGAUACCCCAGUAGUCC